UACGGAGGGUGCAAGCGUUAUCCGGAUUCACUGGGUUUAAAGGGUGUGUAGGCGGGUGUUUAAGUCAGUGGUGAAAUCUCCGGGCUCAACCCGGAAACUGCCAUUGAUACUAUUCAUCUUGAAUACUGUUGAGGUAGGCGGAAUAUAUCAUGUAGCGGUGAAAUGCAUAGAUAUGAUAUAGAACACCGAUUGCGAAGGCAGCUUACUAAACAGUUAUUGACGCUGAGGCACGAAAGCGUGGGGAUCAAACAGG
rnacentral:rRNA from 1 species